AGAGUUUGAUCCUGGCUCAGGACGAACGCUGGCGGCGUGCUUAACACAUGCAAGUCGAGCGGUAAGGCCCUUCGGGGUACACGAGCGGCGAACGGGUGAGUAACACGUGGGUGACCUGCCCUCAGCUCUGGGAUAAGCCUGGGAAACUGGGUCUAAUACCGGAUAUGACUUCGCAUCGCAUGGUGUGGGGUGGAAAGUUUUUCGGCUGGGGAUGGGCCCGCGGCCUAUCAGCUUGUUGGUGGGGUGAUGGCCUACCAAGGCGACGACGGGUAGCCGGCCUGAGAGGGCGACCGGCCACACUGGGACUGAGACACGGCCCAGACUCCUACGGGAGGCAGCAGUGGGGAAUAUUGCGCAAUGGGCGGAAGCCUGACGCAGCGACGCCGCGUGGGGGAUGACGGCCUUCGGGUUGUAAACCUCUUUCGACCCCGACGAAGGGUGACUGACGGUAGGGGUAGAAGAAGCACCGGCCAACUACGUGCCAGCAGCCGCGGUAACACGUAGGGUGCGAGCGUUGUCCGGAAUUAUUGGGCGUAAAGAGCUCGUAGGCGGUGUGUCGCGUCGGCCGUGAAAACCUGCAGCUUAACUGUGGGCUUGCGGUCGAUACGGGCAUCACUGGAGUUCGGCAGGGGAGACUGGAAUUCCUGGUGUAGCGGUGAAAUGCGCAGAUAUCAGGAGGAACACCGGUGGCGAAGGCGGGUCUCUGGGCCGAUACUGACGCUGAGGAGCGAAAGCGUGGGGAGCGAACAGGAUUAGAUACCCUAGUAGUCC
rnacentral:rRNA from 1 species